rnacentral:tRNA from 1 species
GGGACCAUAGCUCAAUGGUAGAGCAGCCGGCUCAUAACCGGCAGGUUGGGGGUUCGAGUCCCUCUGGUCCCACCC